rnacentral:piRNA from 1 species
CAUAAUUGAGGUGACAGCUGUUGCUGCAGU